rnacentral:rRNA from 1 species
GGCAAGCGUUGUUCGGAAUUACUGGGAGUAAAGGGCUCGUAGGCGGCCAAUUAAGUCAUAUGUGAAAUCCCUCGGCUUAACCGGGGAACUGCGUCUGAUACUGGAUGGCUUGAGUUCGGGAGAGGGAUGCGGAAUUCCAGGUGUAGCGGUGAAAUGCGUAGAUAUCUGGAGGAACACCGGUGGCGAAGGCGGCAUCCUGGACCGAUACUGACGCUGAGGAGCGAAAGCCAGGGGAGCAAACGGG